AUGAACGCUGGCGGCGUGCCUAAUACAUGCAAGUCGAGCGAACAGACGAGGAGCUUGCUCCUCUGACGUUAGCGGCGGACGGGUGAGUAACACGUGGAUAACCUACCUAUAAGACUGGGAUAACUUCGGGAAACCGGAGCUAAUACCGGAUAAUAUAUUGAACCGCAUGGUUCAAUAGUGAAAGACGGUUUUGCUGUCACUUAUAGAUGGAUCCGCGCCGCAUUAGCUAGUUGGUAAGGUAACGGCUUACCAAGGCGACGAUGCGUAGCCGACCUGAGAGGGUGAUCGGCCACACUGGAACUGAGACACGGUCCAGACUCCUACGGGAGGCAGCAGUAGGGAAUCUUCCGCAAUGGGCGAAAGCCUGACGGAGCAACGCCGCGUGAGUGAUGAAGGUCUUCGGAUCGCAAAACUCUGUUAUUAGGGAAGAACAAAUGUGUAAGUAACUAUGCACGUCUUGACGGUACCUAAUCAGAAAGCCACGGCUAACUACGUG
rnacentral:rRNA from 1 species